rnacentral:lncRNA from 1 species
AUCCCUCAAAUGGAUGACCUCUCACCUCUAGAGAAUUAAGGUUAAACUUUCCAAUGUAGUAGAUUAGUUCUAGUAGAGAGUUAGUGAGAGCGGCGCUACGCCCGGGUUCCUAAGGAGUCUUCUCGAGGAGUCUUCAAAGGAGUCGUCAGAGUUCUGGUAUAUCUUUAUAUCUUUUCUUGUAAGACCUAUGCUUUAAUAUAUUAUCUUCUCUAUUUACUUUUAUGCAUUAUAUUUGAUUGGUUAGUAUAGUUGUUAUACUUUAGCAUAGGAUCUCCGCCCGCAUCUGGUGCUCUAGUUAUUAAUUGUGACUAGAGUAGUAAUUUGUAGUAGAGACAUGGUGUCUAGACUAUAGGUUACCUGCGAUUGCACCCAGUUCUAUGGAUAAUUGUGGUAGCCCUAGGUGGUGAUAGCCCUGACGGCCGACUAUUCCACCACGUUUGGAUUGGUGUUGUAGGACCAUAGUCAGAGCUUUCUAGUCCCCUUCUCAUCUUUCCGUGACUAGUGUUCUGAUGUCCCGAAGUGUUAUUAUAUGAUUGCUUUACCUACCAUGAAUUAGUUAUUAUAGAACCCUAGUAAUAGAAAAGUAUUUAGGAACCUUAAACACUCUCGUUGUUCUCUCACUUUAGCUAUCUACUCUUUUAUCAUAGAAUUCUCCGGUGUGUGUCAUAUAUGCAUAAUUUCCUAUCAUCAAUUAUGUACCCCUACUUUAGUCUAGUUGGUGUAUUAGUUAGUAGAUAUAUAAUGGUAAACUAUCAAUAUCUUUAUCCAUUGUUUCCCAGUGCUAAAAUAUAAAUAACGAUACCUAGAAUACUUCCGGUAAAAUGCUACAAUGGUUUUCUGUGCGCUUGCAGAAUCCUUCAUAUUUUAAUUGUGCAUAAUAAAUACCAACAGGCUCCAAAGUUAGCGUCAGUCCUCUUGCUAGUGGUGAUGCGCUUGGAGUGCUUACCACAAGCUCUAGCACUUGACCCGGCUAGACCAAUUGUCGCUCUUUACAUCUUGCUCUACUAGAGUUGCUCUUUACGAUCCCCUGGGUGAGCACCAUACCCCUCAUAAAUCCUCCUUCGGAGCACCGCACGGUCUUCUCCCAUGCUUCAAACGAAGUCACAAUCCACCAAACCAUCUAGGUGAUGGCAAUCACCAAGAGUAACAAGAAAUCCCCAAUCACAAAGAUUUUCUAGUGCCACCAAAUGCAAAUCCCGAAUGCACAUACUAGGCUCUCACUCUCUCACUCAAAAUAGCACCAAGCAUGAGAGGGAGAGGAAGGGGAAAUAGUGAAUCUUUAGCCUCUCAUCCACACCCACAAAGGUCUCUCAAUCUCUCUAAGAUAUUUCAGCUCAAAACCAUGGGAAAAAAGAGGAGAGGAGGAACCCUGGCCUCCUUGCUCUCCAAAUGUGAGAAAAUAAUGGGGAGAGGACUCUGUUCAGUUUGGCUUCCUCUUUUUUAGAGGAGAGCGAAGGUGCUGGCUUGUCCUUCUUGGCCAGCCACAACAUGGUCAGCAUUCUUUCCUCUCUAACGCCCGUGGGCCUAGCAAGCCCCAAUAGGCAGAAACGAUGAUGUACUCUCCAAUGGGCAAAAGGUAACAACUCACACACCAAAAGGCCAUGUCACAAAACUGCUGGGAAGCUUCCUGCCUUCCACCUAGGCGCAGACAGGAGUCAAGCAAGAAAGAAGCUUGUUAGGAAUGGCCAUUGAUUCCCUUGCUUUGGCCAGGUCCUAUAUUCGUUCCCCAUCCCAAGGGCCUGAGGCAGGUUUGGAAUAAUAGCAACAUGAAUACUCGAGCGAAUGAGAACCCAAAUGCUCUUUUCAUCGGUUCACGGUGUGCUAAGCAAUGGCUCAAAUAUAAAAUCAAAUAUAUUCUCAACUCCUCACGGAAAAACCUGUUUGUUAUAGUAUAGUAGGCAAUCAAGUUGUUUGAAAGUGAAUUCAUGUCCCGAGUAAUAACUGAGAUGGGAGUCUUGGGCUGGGAAAUCGAAUCCAACAUAUGAUGGCUAACUGACUCUAACAUUAGUAUCUUUCAUCCACUGCUUUGAGGCUACUUUUAGGCUGCAGAGUCAAGUUAGGUGCACAAAAGGCAUGAGCAGGGCAAGAAACGAGCAUUCACGGCUAGCCAAAGCUCCUCUAUGUGAUCUCAACUUUGGUCAAUAGCAAGUGGUCCCUAAGAGGCUUUAAAGCAAGCAACACCUCUCGUCCAAGAAAAAGAGUGGACACAUGUAGCCUGCCUAUUUAUGGAAUGGGCCCCACCUACAGGUUAUACAUUUGCCUUCUGUAUUCCAUUCCAUCUCCUUCGAUGUUGAUGUAACACAUGCACAACCAAUCACAAAUCAUAUGAUCCACUUUAUAUCAUCGCGUGACCAUAUUGGUCCAUCGAUCUUGACCUCACUUGCUCUUUACUGUUGUCUUGAUCCAUCGGCGCUAAGUCUUGUUCAAGCUUCAUCGUCACAUGUGGUCUCUCGCUUCAAUGUCUCUAACAUACCCUUGACACCUGCAACCAGUCCAUCGAGCCAAGCCUCAUCUUGAUCUUCUCCACCUUAGUCACAUGACUCUAUGUCAUGUCAUAUAUGCAAUGAGCUCCUCCAUCAUCACAUAUUCACCUAUGGACUAAUCUCAUGUGCAUCUCACAUAAACACUAUUAGUCUAUCUAAGUUGUCACUCAAUUACCAAAACCAAAUAAGGACCUUUCACCAGACCGCCUCCGAGUUGGGCCCAGAAGGGAGGGAGGGAGGCCCAUUAGUGGUUUGCCUUUUUCUCUUUUUUGAAUUUCUUUUUCUAAAUUGAUUUCAAAUCAUUUUUGAAAUAUUUUAAAAGCAUUUUCAGGAGUUGAGCCAAAAAUAAAAUUUGCCCAAAUAAAAUUAUCUAAAAUUUUGAUUUAAGGUGCAAAUCAAGAUUCCAAAUGGAUUUUGAAUUACAAGUUAAAGUUAGUUCUAGGUUUGAAAUAAAUCCAUUUUAUGAAAUUUGAACUUGAAUCAUUUUCUUCAAAUCUAGUGCUCAAAAAAUGCUACUUAAAAUUUCUAAAUUAAGUUUAAGCAUAAAACAAUUUAAUUUAAGCAUCACAAUCAUUUUUAGACAUAGCAUGGUAAUUAUGAUAAUUAUUGUAUACUUAAAAGGGUACACAUGAAAUGUUACUCACACAUGAAAUACUUAUGAGAUGAGAUGCUCAUGCUUAUGCCAAUGCUCAUGUAGGUUUUAUGAAGCCCUCAUACAAGCUUAAAGGGUGUUACAGACAUAGCCAUUGCUUGUGCCUAGAGAUCAUAGCAACUAGAAUUGUUGGAUAGGUGGCUUGCAACCCUUGUAGAGCUACAGUAAAAUUGCUUUAUGUAUUUUCUCAUAUUAAUCCAUUGCUCUAGUAUCUUGUAGAUUUUUUAAAUAGGCUAUUCACCCCCCUCUAGCCAUAUUUGGAUCUUUCACCAGCUGCGUGCCUGCUUGCACGUAGGUGAGUUGGUCUCUUCAUGGCGUGAGGACGGCGACUUGCUGUUGUACGGCUCCCGCAUGUUCAUCCCCGAUGUCACUAACCUCCAGCACCAAGCUAUCUAGCUUGCCCAUGGUGCCAGACACGAGGGAAUUUAGAGGACUUUGCACCUCCUCCGUACUGUUUUUUAUUGGUGUAAGAUUGGAUGUGUACUUAUGUGACGUGCCAACACAACAAGACGGAGACCCUUCAGCCGAUCGACCUCCUGCAGCCCCUUGAUGUGCCAUCCCAGGUGUGGACGAACAUCUCCAUGGAUUUCAUCGAUGGGCUGCCAAGGUUGGUGGCAAGUCGGUCAUUCUCACCAUCGUCAACUCCUUCUCCAUGUACGCGCAUUUUGUCAUGCUUGGUCACCCCUACACCGCGGCGUCGGUCGCUCACGCCUUCUUCGACGGUGUCGUUCAGUUGCAUGGGUUUCCCCUGUCCAUUGUCAGUGAUAGGGACCCUAUGUUUACCGGCCACGUGUGGAGUGACCUCUUCCAACGGGCAGGCGUGACUCUUUGUAUGAGCAUGGCCUUCCACCCUCAGAUAGAUGACCAAUUGGAGGUGGUCAACAAGGUGAUUGCAAUGUAUCUGUGUUGUGUGACAGGUGAUCUUCCACAUGCCUGGAUGAACUGGCUCUCUUGGGUAGAGUAUUGUUAUAAUAGUUUCUUCCAUACCGCCCUUCGUGCGACAACCUUCGAGGGAGUGUAGGUCGUCCCCCACCCCCGAUCAUCCCCUACAAUCCCGGGACAGCUCGUACCAAGACAGCUGACGCUCUUCUCCGGACCCGCGAUGAGAUGCUUGUAGAGGUCCGUCAGCAGCUUCUCCAAGAACAUCAGCUGUCCAAGAAGUACUACGACGCCAACCACAGGGAUGUGGAGUUCGAGGUCUACGUGUGGGUUUGGUCGCGUCUUCUAAACCGCACCAUGCAGUCCCUAAACCCGCGCACCAAGUGCAAGUUGGGGCCAUGCUGGGCCAGUCCGUUUCAUGUUCUUGAACGCAUUGGCCGUGUCGCCUAUUGUCUAUAGCUUCCUGAGGGCACCCGCAUCCACAACAUCUUCCAGUUUGGUCUUAUGAAGAAAAACACGACGAUCCUCCUGCUCCACUCGGCGAUCUUCCACCGACACUAGACAGCCGCAUACUACUGUUGACGGUCCUUUAAUAUCAAAUAUAAUCAACAAAUAAACAAAAAAAGGAUCCAAAUGCAACCGACACCCACACUUAGGGUUUUAUCUGACAGAAUUCUACGAGUUUUGGUGUUUGUCUAUUUCUGCAGGGGGUUAUCAGGAAAUACGGAGGAAAGGCCCACACGUCGGGUUUACAUAGAGAUAUUAAUGUGCCGCGCAAUUAUCUAACAUCUAGAAGAGUCCAGAAGCCAUGGAAACGAACGGGAGACCGGACGGGCUCGGGGGCAGGGCGCCCGCCCUCCCCCCUUGGGCGCCCGCCCUGGCCUCGGGGCCAAUCAGGUUCAACUUUGCGGAUCAUGCUCCACCGACCUAAAGGAUCAAGGAAAACCGUGCGAUUAAUGUCGGUUUGAUCCGACGCCCCAUAUUUAUUUGGAAGGACUAUAUAAGCAGACCCCCUAGCCCCUGGAGGAGAGGACCUCUAUCCCUCAGAAACCCUAAUUCAUUAUGUAUCUUGGGAGAAGAAGCCUCUGAUCAAGCCCUAUAGCCACCACAUCAAUUAGAUCUCUAGUUUAGCAUAGCUACAUAGGAUUAGAACUAGAAGGAGUCAGGAUUCUACCGUUCUUCAAUUGUUCAUCAUUGUUCAUCAAUAUUAUGAAUAUGACUUUGUUCUACUUCAAUAUAUUGAUUAUGACUUUGCUCUACUUGUUUAUAUUCGCAAUUAUAUUGUUCUUAGUUUAUCAUAGUUAUAUGCUUGGCUUAGUUAGAUUGGAAUUAUAUACAUGUUUAGGAUCGUAUAGCGUUUAUCCAUGUGUACAGUGGGUAAAUGAUAAGUAUUGUGUAGGCGUGGUGCCUAUACCGUAUUUAUCUGCGAUUGUACCCUAUAUGCCAGAUCGCGAGGUAGUUCAUGGUAGUGACAGCUCCAUUGAUUCUUAUAUAGUCCCCCUCUCAUGUAUAGGGCUGGUAGAGCAACAUUAUUACAGGGGAGUGAUUGCUAUGUUUCUCAUCUUCCUUGAUAAUAUCACUAUGCAUGGGCGUAAUCCUGUCUCGCAAUGAUUGCCAAGUAUAAUUGCACUAACUAUGAUACGCUAGACUGUAUAGUUAAGAAUAACUUAGGAAAUAUUCUUGUAGUUCGUCCUAAUUCCAUGCUAAUGACUUGCUAGAAUAUCUAUUGAGGUGCUUAUCAUAUUUAUAUGUGGCUAAGUUAUGCUGAUCAGAUUAAUUAUCUUUGUCACCAUUCUUACUUUAUCUAUCUUUUAUGUGACAUUUAUCCCUGUAAGAAAGAGAAAGAUAACUGCUCUCAAUUAUAUAUGCAAUGAUAGAUACUCAAUUCUAUAUUCCAUUCUAUAAUCAACAUUGAUGUUUAGCAAUCCCUUCCCAGUGGUAAAAAUAUAAAUAACGAUACGUGGAAUACUUCCCGGUUAAAAUGCUACAUCGGUAUUAAUCUGUGCACUUGCAGAUCUCAUUUAUUAUUUAUUUAGAAGAGCAAUUGCAUAUUUCAAUGCCGCGUCUCUCAUGUCAUGCUGGGGAUGACAACUUGGCUUAAGUGGCAUGAGGGAUAGGUUUGGCAUUUUUGCGCCGUUAUCAGAAUUAGAAAACUAAGUCUACUUUUGGUAGUGACGUUAAGAAUGCCCAACAACUACCUGCGCCCGAGCGUGUGCUGCGUACUCAGCAGCAUCACGGUGUUUGGAAGCUCUUGGUCAAGUGGUGUGGCUUGCUCGACGAUGAGGCUACUUGGGAGACGCUUGACUCCUUCCGCGAGGACUUCCCUGAUUUUCAGCUCGAGGACGGGCUGUUUUCGUAGAGGAAAGAGAUGUUAUGACCGGCAUAACAUACCAACGCCAUAAGCGUCGUAAGCCUAGCAGUGUCUAGGAGGCGGCGCUGGGUAGAGGGGUUUAGCCCUUAUAUGCCGCUAUUAUUAAUGUUCUUAGGGGGUUUCUUAUAAUUGCUAUUUUAGAGACAUAUAAAUAUUUAUAAAUUCUAUGGGACAAAUUCUAUUGGUAGAGUUUGCCUACGUAUGUUCAUAAGGGUGAGUGUACAUGUGAUAUGAACGUCUGCGUUGUACUCUGUGAUUCUCAAAAAAAUUUCUAAGUAAUCCUUAAAGAUGACAUGUUGCCUGCUAAUUGCUAGGCGAAUUCUUCUUUCCUAGCGGGACAAGUUUUGGCAACUAAGAGCAUGUACAACGGUUGUUCUUUUUGGUCUCCGUGAUGUUUCUUUUAUAGAAAAACCCCCAACACAGCCGAGAGAUGGGCGCAAAGUCGCGUUGUGAGACAAUGGUCCUGUCCUGUGCUCCGAUGCGGAAUAGACGACAGUGGCUCCGUUGUACGGGCUCAUCUCCGAGAGGUGACACGUGCUCAGAUCCCACGCGGGCAGAAGCCAACACGCAGCAACAAUCGAUUUGGCGUGCGCGGGAUUUUUUUUCGUGCCAAAUCCAUCUCCACCUUCAUAUAUCCUCGCAUCCUCACUUCCCCCAAAUUCAUCUCAAUCUCGCACUCUCGUCUCUAAUUUGGGUUUGCCCGAGAUGUCGACAUCGGCUGCAGCUAGAAAGAAGAAGGGCUCGACACCGUCGUCUUUGGAUGUGGCGGUGGCGACCCCAGCCCAUACCCUCGGUCGCGUUGGUUUCUCGGCGCCGACAGCUCUCUGCCUCGGUUGUGGAAGUGGCUCGGUGCUGACAGCUCUCUCCCUUGGUCAUGGUGUGGGCUCAGUGCUGACAGCCUGCUCUCUCAGACGUGGAGGCGGCUCAGCAGCGGUCGCGACUCACCCAACCAUCAGUGGUCUCGGUAAGGGCACAGUGACGGUGCCGUUGUCUAUUGAUAGAUCCAGCAUAGGUGCCUUCCCCAUCUCUUCAUUGUCCAUUGAUGGGUUUCUAUUCCCCUCUUCAUCGUCUCUAGAUUGGUGUGACUGGCUUGCAGUGAUCCCUUGUCUUCUCGAUUUGGGCAUUCAAUAGCUUGGGAUGCAUGAUGGUAAUCACUCAAAACUUGUAGAUAUGUGACUAUAGUUUGGGAUUAUUUCAAUGCACAAACCUGAUAGUAAUAUGCCAAGUCUCAAUUUACAAACCUGAUAGAAAGAUGCAGAUUUUGUAUGCUGGAAAUGGAUGCAGUUCAUGCAAGUAAUUCCCACAAUGGAAGUAAUAUACCUAAUAGUAAAAUGCCAAAUCUUAUUUUUUUUUUUAUGAAAGCAGAAUUGCUCAUGUGUGUUUGCUAGUCAAAAAAAUUAUUCAGCUUGUAUUCCUUGAUUUACAGUAAUUUCAGUUACUAUCUAUGUUUGCUCCUAAUACUGUCAGUCAUUUGAAAACUACAUUCUGUUAAUACUACCUUUAUGCUCCUAAUACUGCCAGUCAUUUGAAAACUGCAUGCUUAUAUGGCAUGCAUUCUUUGGUACCGCUGGGUCUCAAAACGACAAACAGUCUAAACAAGUCAGCACCAUUCUUUUAAGCAAUAAAAGGAGAAACACCUACAAUACAGUAUAAUAUAAAUGGAACACAAUAUGACAUGGAUAGAAUCUUGCUGAUAAAACAUAUCUGGAGUGGGCAGUAUUUGUGAAGACAGUGACAACCCAUUAGUCGUCAGAAGACAAAAUAUUUGCAUUAAUGCAAGAAGCGGCAAGAAAAGAUAUCAAGUGCGCAUUUAAUUUGCUGCAAUCAUAUUUUGUUAUUGUUCGUCGAUCAGCAAGGUUAUAGAAGCAGUGUGAUGUUAUCAACAUAAUGCAAGCAUAUGUUAUCCUUCACAAUACGAUAUGCAAGCUUAUAUUAUCCUUCACAAUAUGAUAGUGGAAGAUGAGAAGGGUCCAAUUAGAGAAAUCUUGGAUUUGAAUGAUAAUCUAAGUUCGACAAAGCCUCAUCCUACCUUUGCAGAGGUACUUCAUAGAAAUUUCAAUAUCAAAGCUCGACCAACACAUAUAGGAAACUCAAAAAGGAUCUAAUCGAGCAUAUAUGACAACACUAUAAAAACAAAGAAAAUUAGAAUGCUAUGGAAACAAGAGAUAAAAAAUGCAACUAUAUAAAAUAAUUAUUAUAUCGAUGAUUUAAAAAUAUAUUAUAAUCAUGUUGCUCUUUUUUUGUCUUUGAUAUAUUUUCUAUCAAAUAGCCACACAACGAUAUAAAAAAUCUAUUUAUAGUUUAUUCUAGCUAUAUGCAAAGCAUUAAAUAGUUUAGAGACGAACUCCGAGUUUGUGAGUCGUAUGACUUAUCUUUUGUCUUAAUUAUAUUUUCUAUCAAAUAGCUAAAAAAUCUAUUUAUAGUUGAUCCUAACUACUCUCUCCCUACCAAAUUGUAAGCUAUUUCAAAAAUCUUGAAGAUUCAAAGUAUCUUAAAUUUGAGCAAAAUUAUGAAACUUGACCUAAAUUAUAAAAAAAUACAAAAUUUUGUGACAUCAAAUAGAUAUACUAUAAAAAUAGAAUCAAUAAAGGACCUAAUAAUGCUUAGUUGAUAUCAUAAAUGUUAUUAUCCUACCAUAUAAAUAUGGUCAAACUUGAGAUAUUUUGACUCUCUCAGAUUUGUGGAAUGACUUAUAAUUUAGGAUGCAUGGAGCAUAUGCAAAGCAUUAAGGCCUUGUUUAGUUCCAAAUUUUUUUUGAAAAAAGAGUACUGUAGCGCUUUCGUUUGUAUGUGACAAAUAUUGUCUAAUUAUAGACUAACUAGGCAAACUAUACAAUUAGUUUUUAUUUUUGUCUAUAUUUAAUGCUCUAUACACAUGUUUACAAUUAAUUUUUAUUUUCGUCUAUAUUUAAUGCUCUAUACAUGUGUCUAAAAAAUUGAUGUGACAAAAAAUCUUAAUAAAUUUUUGAUUUUAGAGAGUAACUAAACAAGGCCUAAAUUUUUGAGUGGUACUCCCUCCAUGACGUUUAGGACAUGAUUGUGGUAACCAAAAAAUGAUUAUUUAGAGGUUAUCUUUCCUUGUUUACCUCUAUUAAAUAGUGGUGCGAGUGCUAAUUAGACAAGAAUAUCUCAUAGUUGAAUUGGCAAAGACACUGUAGUCAAAGCCUGCUGCCCACGGUUCGAGCUCCAACAACCACAAGCCUUUUUUUAAUCUCUCGGUAAUUGCAUGUCGCUGUGCGGGCGCUCACAUUUGGCCACUGAUUGGUCGUGUUUGGCCGCUUUGCUGUGCGCGUGUGCUGCGGAGAGAGGAAGCGACGCGCAUGCAGGGCCAGCGCGAGAGCCGAGAACGUGCGGCCAGCGAGAGUAAUUUCGUUGGCGACUCGAGCGGACGCGAGCGCUGAGGGUAUUCCCGUCCACGCGAGCACCCACAAGUGCAGAACGUCUAUUGUGAAAUCAGCCUACAAGUCCAGAACGUCGAUUAUUUUGAGUACGGAGGGAGUAUGACUUAUCGCUUAGAAACUGACCCGUUCGUGGGUUCCACGUGCCCUAGCUAGGGCACAAAUUGAAGGCCCACCAACAGAAGAAGCAGGAGCUGAACCUGGCAACAAUUUUGCUACAAAUUUCGGCCUUGGCCUUGUUUAGUUGACUCUAAAAACCAAAAACUUUUCAAGAUUCUCCGUCACAUCGAAUUUUGUGGCAUAUGUAUGAAACACUAAAUAUAGAUGAAAAUAAGAACUAAUUACACAGUUUAUCUGUAAAUCGCGAGAUGAAUCUUUUAAGUCUAGUUACUCUAUAAUGAGACAAUGUUUGUCACAAACAAACGAAAAUGCUACAGUUCUGAAAACCAAAAAAUUUUCACAACUAAACAAGGCUCUUGUUAGGCCUUGUUUAGUUGCAAAAUAUUUUGCAAAAUAUGAAUAGUAUAAAUUUCGUUUGUAUUUGAUAAAUAUUAUCCAAUUAUAGACUAGACUCAAAAAAUUCGUCUCGUCAAUUUCGACCAAACUGUGUAAUUAGUUUUUAUUUUCAUCUAUAUUAAUACUUCAUAUAUACGUCUAAAAAUUCGAUGUGACGGAAAAAUCUAAAAUAUUUUGCAAAAUUUUCUGGUAACUAAACAAGGCCUAAUCUGUAGACGUAUGCAUAAAGUAUUAAAUAUAAAUAAAAAUAAAAACUAAUUGCACAGUAUAAUCGAAAUUGACGAAACGAAUCUUUUAAGCCUAGUUAGUCCAUAAUUAAAUAAUAUUUAUCAAAUACAAACAAAAGUGCUACUAUUUAUAUUUUGCAAAAAAAAAUUGCAAGAAAAGAAGGCCUUCGUCGUACCCAAACAACUUCUCGUUUGUUUGUUACAAACAGAAAGAUGUUGCCAUAACCAAUGCAUGCACAGAAACAAGUAAGAAUUUUAGGAUCGAUCCAUCCAGUACACACAAGAACGUUUCAAACCAUAUAAUUACCGAGUCAAGCACAAUUUAGCAGCAGCAGCAGCAGCAGCACUGUACUAAUCAUAUGUAGCAGCAAACAACUACUAUAUGAACGAAGUAUUAUAUAUAUAAAUAUAAGCCCUUAUUACUUGAUCGCCUACACAUAUAAUAGAGAUCUGCAACCACGUCUCCCUCCAGAGCCCCCGAUGGAAGGCCGGCGCGCGGCUUCAGCGUGGGUAUGCGGCAAUCUCGACGCCCUUGCUGCCGAGCGCCGACGACGGGGGCGCCUCGUAGGC